ACAUGUUAUUGAAGAAUAUAUUACUCCACCAAAAUUGCACUUAACAUAUCUCUUUCUCUAGAGCUCUUAAUGUUUGAUUAUUUUUUUGUGCAGAUUCCAUGAGGAAUAUCUCAUCUAGAACAACUUUUAAGUGUAGUCUAGUAGUUAGAAUCUACUUUUUCUAAGGUGAAUAAAUGGGGUGUUCGAGGUUCGAAUUCCAGCCUCUACAUAUAACAAUGCAUGUCCCUGCCAAAUGAGUUAUGCUAUUAUAUGCUAGACAUGGAGUAAAACAAAGUCCAUGAUUUUAUUUUACAUUUCUUUAAAAAAAAAAAUUACAUACUCUUUUGGAUAUAAUACAUACAUGAAUUUGUCUGGCUUUGAUGGAGGUUUACCCACACCCUCCAUUUUUGCUACCUACGCGACCUCUUCAAUCUUUUUUUAUUAUUUUUUCAUUUUUCCUCCUCCUCCUCCUCCUCCAUCAUGUUCAGUUUCUUUGUGUUUUCCACCUUUAAAUCGUUCACCUUUGCCGCCAUCAUUUCCUCUUGAGCCUGAGCCAUGUCCACCUUUAUUUCUUACCCAGCUUUCAGCACUCGGCCCGGGUCUCGGUUUCCAUUCAACACUUAUUUUGAAUUUUUCUGUUGCGCCAACUGAAAUUUAACGAACACUUUUUAUUAAAUAUAGUAAAAGAAGAAAGAAAUUGUUUAUGCAGUGUAAUAUAUAUUUACACACACACUAUUUACCAAUUACCAUGUUUGGAUGGCGCAAUUGCCACAACGGAGAAAAAAAUCAGUGCACACGAAAAUACAAAGACAAAAUACUUUGUUUUCAUCCUUGAUCAAUUAAGAGUAGAUUGUAACUAACUAUAAACACAAUCAAUAGCUAUAUAUAUUCAACUGGAGUAUGUCAUUUUUUUUUUUUUUUUUUGUUUUUUUGAAGAAGGUUUUGGCUUAUUGUGAGGAUAAUAGGCCAUCAACAUAUAUUGAGACAUUUAGGGUUCAAUUGGGACAUGUUUACAUAAAGAGGUAAGAAGGUUUUUUACACAAUGAUUACUAAAAGGUGCUUAUAAUGUUUAAUAAUUUCUUUACACUUAAAUAUUGUUCUAGAUGUUUGUGUAAAAAUAAUUGGGAGUAGUCAUUAUAAAGAAUCAAGGUUCUUAAAUGCUCAACGAGUUAACGAAACUCUAAUAAAAUCGAUAACCCUUGAAUAUAUCAAGAAGCUUACGAGUUAUAGUUCUGGAUUGAGUUAUCAGGGAGUUUACGAGUUAUAGUUCUGGAUUGAGUUGACCUUAAAAUAUAAUCUUUUAGUAAGGAAUAUCUAAAUAUAAGUUUUAAGGGAAAUGUUAGGGCACUAGUUAAGGAGUUAUAAAAAAAAUAAAAAAAAUUGAAAUUUUAUAUGUUAUUUUUUUUAAACUUGAAAAGUUGUUGCUUUUAAUGUUAGAUUUAUCUUUUCUUGCCAUUUUUAGAUGUUUGAAGUGGUGGAUAUCAUGCGUCAUUGUGAAUUUGUUGUUUUUCUACAAUAUUUUCAUCCUUUCUUUUUGGUCUUAUAAAAUGCGUCAUUGAGAAUUUGUUGUUUUUCUACAAUUUUUUCACCAUUUCUUUUUUGUAUUAUAAAUAAACAAUAAUUUUACUCAUUUAGUGAUGCUCUGAGGUCAUUCUAGCUGGGAUCCUCAACAUUACUGGUGUGUUUAGCUAGGAAAAGAAGGUGGAAGGAAAGAAAGUGAAAGGAAAUAUAAGGAAAGAAAAAUGGUAGAAAGCGAGAGGAUUUUUUAAUUAUUUUAUUUUUUGGUAUAAGAGAAAGUGGAAGGAAAGAAAUAUAAAAAUAACAAAAAUGACCUUAUAUAAAAGAUCUCAUAACCUUAUAUAAAAUUUCAAUAUGACAAAAAGAACAUAAUUAUUAUUUAAAAAUGCAUGAAAGUACUAUUUUUUUAGUAAUUAUUAUUUUUUGAUAAAAGUUUUUUAGUCAUUAUUAUUAUAUUUUUUAUUUAUCCAUUGGAUAUACAUUAAAUCACAAUAUCAUUUUUCCCUAAAAAUAAUCCAAGUAUCAAUCUAUUACUUUAAUAUAUGCAGAGACGGAGGUUCGAACCCCAAACACCCAACUUCUUCACCUUUAAAAGGUGGAACCUUUCUCGAUCUCGAUUGUUUUGUUUUUCUUCGCUUGUUUCCACGUCACCACGUGUGUCAUAGCUGAUCUUGUUUAUUAACUUUACAUUCACGAUAUCUCCCAUUUAUUGGUUGUAAGAUCUUCAUAGCUUGCUUCAGUUGUUCCUUGAUGAUAUUUGAAUAUCAUAUGUGAAGACACAUGGUUCACGUGAAUCAAGACUUCAUGAAGGAUGUUUGUAUCGACGAUAUGGUUUAUAAGGGAUUGGUAUGAAUAUGCUUUAAUUUAUGUUUGCAAAGUGUUUUCAGUCAGUACUCCGAUCAGCCUUGUCUACGCCAGUUAACAUCAGACACAGUUUAGUGUCUAAUAAAUGAUCGUCAUAAGUUGGAAUUGUUCGGUUUAGGCAGUCCGAGCAUUGUUCCUAAUCUUAAAUACCUAGUCCGAUCAUAUAAACCAGAAGGAAUAAUCCUGUCUGAAAAAAUGACAACGGCAAAUAAAAUUGAAAAGUUAAGUAUAUUUUAUCUUUUAAGUACCGUUUCCCUCUAGAUAGAAUUGGUAGAGGACGAGGUCUAGCUCACCGUUGGAAAAAAAAUCUCUUGAUUCUUGUAUCACAAGUUAUUCGCAAAAUUAUAUUGAUCAGUAGAUUAUUGAUUAGAUUCAUGAUCAUUGGAGGUUAACUGGUUUCUAUAGCAUGUUGGAGAGGGGGACUCUGUAAGGAUUCUUGGAAUCUCCUUAUUGUCCCUUCGGUCACCCCUUCCAUGGUGUGUUAUUGGGGACUUGAAUGACAUUCAGACAGUGGAAGAAAAAAAGGAAGAUCAGGGAGGCAACCUUCUUUAUUUCAAAGCUUUCGACAAGCAGUUCUUGAUGCUGGUCUUAUUAAUAUUCUGGUUCAAAAUCGUACUUUGGCAGAUUGUGUACCCGGUAACUAUUGAUCAGAUGCAUGAAUCAAAUUGUCAUCCCAAAUUAACGUAUUAUAAUAGAAACUUCAGGAACUAUUAAAUGUGGAAGAAGAUACUCGUCCAAUCUUCCCGUGCUUAGGUACAUUGAGUAGGCCGCCAUUGGAUUUCAUCGACAAAGAACUAUGAGGCCAGAAUUCCUAAACACCUUAUUCCCUGGUUGCUCAAAGUCUGCAUGUGUUUCGAAGCUCAUGCGUUUCAAAACACCAUAUGCCGAGUUGUUCAAGACCUUGAAACUAUUCGACGAGAAUCUAGCUCACUAUUAAAGAAUCUCAAAGCUCAUGAUUGGUAAAAGAAUUCUAAUCUUAAACCGUUCAUGGCAUAUAUUAGAAAUCAGAAGCACUUCAUAUCAGACAAAAACCAUGGUUACUGGUUAGAUAUAUGUUUGGGUUUGAACUAUGUAUGUAUAGCAAUAAAAAUUAGCAUUCUGUGUUAAACAUGCAUGAAGUGUGUUUGCUAGAUACUGAAAUCUUUGUA